rnacentral:rRNA from 1 species
AUUGAACGCUGGCGGCAGGCCUAACACAUGCAAGUCGAGCGAGCGGCGGACGGGUGAGGAAUGUAUGGGGACUGCCCGAUAGAGGGGGAUAACUACUGGAAACGGUAGCUAAUACCGCAUACAAUCGGAUAACCCAUAUGGGAUUAGCUAGUUGGUGAGGUAAUGGCUAACAAAGGCGACGAUCCCUAGCUGGGCUGAGAGGAUGAUCAGCCACACUGGGACUGAGACACGGCCCAGACUCCUACGGAGGCAGCAGUAGGGAAGAUUGGACAAUGGGCGCAAGCCUGAUGGAGCCAUGCCGCGUGUGUGAAGAAGGCCUUAGGGUUGUAAAGUACUUUCAGCGGGGAGGCGUUACCCACAGAAGAAGCACCGGCUAACUCCGUGCCAGCAGCCGCGGUAAUUC